rnacentral:pre_miRNA from 1 species
CAUAUACUCCCUCCGUCCAGAAAUACUUGUCAGAGAAAUGGAUGUAUCUAGACGUAUUUUAGUUCUAGAUAUAUCCAUUUUUACCAUUUCUUCGACAAGUAUUUUCGGACGGAGGAAGUAUUAU